rnacentral:rRNA from 1 species
GGGGAAUAUUGCACAAUGGAGGAAACUCUGAUGCAGCGACGCCGCGUGAGGGAAGAAGGUUUUCGGAUUGUAAACCUCUGUCUUCGGGGACGAUAAUGACGGUACCCGAGGAGGAAGCUCCGGCUAACUACGUGCCAGCAGCCGCGGUAAUACGUAGGGAGCAAGCGUUAUCCGGAAUUACUGGGUGUAAAGGGAGCGUAGGCGGGAAGAUAAGUACAAUGUGAAAUGCAGGGGCUCAACCCCUGAAUGUCGUUGUAAACUAUCUUUCUUGAGUGAAGUAGAGGCAGGCGGAAUUCCCGGUGCAGCGGUGGAAUGCGUAGAUAUCGGGAGGAACACCAGUGGCGAAGGCGGCCUGCUGGGCUUUUACUGACGCUGAGGCUCGAAAGCAUGGGGAGCAAAC